rnacentral:rRNA from 1 species
UAAUAAAAAAAUAAAAAAGUGAAACACUCCUUUCCAUUCCGAACAGGAAAGUUAAGCUCUACAGCGUCGAUGGUACUGCACGGGCGACUGUGUGGGAGAGUAGAACGUUGC